CGGCAACAGCUCAAAUUUGAAAUCUGGCGCAAGCCCGAGUUGUAAUUUGUAGAGGAUGUUUCUGGUGUGGCUCCGGUCUAAGUUCCUUGGAACAGGACGUCAUAGAGGGUGAGAAUCCCGUAUGUGACUGGUUGCCUUCGCCCAUGUGAAGCUCUUUCGAC
rnacentral:rRNA from 1 species